rnacentral:rRNA from 1 species
UGCCAGCCGCCGCGGUAAUACGGAGGGUGCAAGCGUUGCUCGGAAUCACUGGGCGUAAAGCGAGCGCAGGCGGCUAGAUAAGUCAGGUGUGAAAGCCCGGGGCUCAACCCCGGAACUGCAUCUGAAACUGUCUAGCUAGAGUACAGAAGAGGAAGGGGGAAUUCCAGGUGUAGAGGUGAAAUUCGUAGAUAUCUGGAGGAACACUCGUGGCGAAGGCGCCUUUCUGGUCUGUUACUGACGCUCAUGCUCGAAAGCGUGGGGAGCGAACAGGAUUAGAUA